ACUUUUACUUAGCAAUAUAUGUGUGUAGUUUGUAACUUGAUUAUUUAGUUACUAGUUUUUCUCAUGUCUGUAGUUUGCAUUACUUUUACUUUUACUUAGCAAUAUAUGUGUAAAAACAACCAACAAAAUUACCUUUGACAUUAUGGACUAAAGUCAUGAAUUUGAGUUGCCCAUUUCUCCCGAAGUGUUGAUUCACUUCCGUUUCGGUUGAGAAAUGGGCAUUGCUAGGUAGAAAAAAUAGCAAAAGUCAUGCCGGAAUUUUGAAUUUUUCGGUUGCUAAUUAUUUGCCUCUUUUUAAUGAAGUGCAAAUGGGCUCCCCUUUCCCCAGCCACUGUUUUGACUGUGGGAACCCUGGUGGCAGGUGUAAGCCUAAGCAAAGGGAUUUCAAUUCCUUCAUGGCAACCAUGCCACCUUUGCCGUAUGAAUCACUGACAAUUCCAUGUUUUGCAACGCCCAAGGUUAAAUCAAUAUAUAUUGGUUCAAACAAAAUGUAUGUUAAAGAUAAAGAGUAUGGGCAUUCGUACAUUUUCAAGUUGCGUUGGGAGAAUGACAAGUUGAAGAUUUCUGGUGGGUCAUGGAAAAGGUUUAUAGAACAUUUCAACAUGAAGACGGGUGACAAGAUGAUGUUUGAGUUAAGUGAAACCCCCGCCUCACCUCUAUUGAUCACCCCAUAUGAUCCAGAAUGCAACGACACCAAAGAGAGAGUAGCCGCUGAAGAUGAUGAUGACCUUUUUGAAAGUAAAAUUUGUUGUUUACUUAGCUUUUUAUAUUUCAGAUUCUGUGACUAACGACUUUAUUUCUUCGUGUGUCUGAAGUGCAUGAUAAUCACAAUGUGGUUGUCAUAUCAAAGAAUAUAAAGCUGACUAUGGAAAAAAAAGGUUAACUGGAGAAACAAUCUUACCAAAAGGAAAGAAAGCGAGGGACCACUGCUCAUACACAAGCUGACAGUAAAAAACAUUGGACGCUGCAAGAUGAAAAUUGCAAAGAAAGCUGUUAAAUAUCUUCAUCUAAAAGAUGAAGGAGAUGUCAAGCUAGUGGGAACCAACAUUGACGAUGUGUAUGGGACCUAUAGCUUUACUGAAUCUGGAAGAAUGAUUUUGAGCAACCCGGCAUGGCACUAGUAGGGAAAAGCUCAUCUGUGGCUGAUAAAUUUUCAUAUACAACAAAAAAAAUUCAAAAAACUUUUUUUUGCAAAAAAACUCAAAAUUCCAAUUUUAAAAUUUUCACCAUUGUUGUAUUAGGUACGGGCAUGUCAGAGGAUUUCAGAUUUUGAAGAUUUUUUUCAUUUUCAAAUAAUUUUUUUAGACGUUUUUUCUGCACCGAGGGGGGGGGGGUAGGAAUAGAAUGCCCAAAUUCUACG